GCUGCCGAGGAGAGCGCCCGGCACGGCAGCGUGAGACGGGGCGGGGCGGGAGGCCGGGACGAGAGUCACCCCCCUCCCCAUCGCUCCUCUCCCCCUCGACCCACCCGGUUCCUUCUGAACCGGCUCACGGGGAAGGGGGCGGUGAGAAAACUGCUUUUGGAACCCGAGUUCCACUUGCAGGGGUCAGAUCCCCAUCGCCUGCCUCCCCUUUCCCGUCUUACCCGCUCUCACCAAUCCCAGGAGGAUCGUCUGGGGGGACCGUCCAGCCUGGGGAGCCUGACCCCCACCACCCCCAAGAGGGAACGGGAGAAACAGUCCUCACGCAUCACUGGAUUUUGUCCCGGGAACGACUCAAGAUGCGGGAAAAAUGAGUCAUCCGCCUCGACCGGAAAGGACGCCUGCAGCGCUCCCUCCGUGCGCGCCGAGCGUCCCAGGCCCAGUUCCACCCACGGAGCACACGGGUCGGGGGACAAGGACGGAAUGAAAGAGCCAACGGGCCAGAAGGCCACCAGAGAGAAAACCGAGGAAGAGACCUGGCCGGACUCAGUAAACCAAGGAGACCGGUUCCCUCGGCAGGCCGCCGCGCAUCGGGAGAUGACGAGCCAGGGUCUCAGUCCCCCCGACUCCCCGGGACUCGCCGGCAGGACAGCGGCCCCCGCGGCUUGGGCGGAAGCCUGGAACCCCGCCUCCGCCAGGAUGCCCUCCGCUCCUCAGAGCGCUGGCCGUACCUCAUCCCGCUGCCCCGGCAACCCCAAACAUCCCAUCUUUGGGAGGCUCGAACCCCGGGAUCCAAAAUGCUUACCGACCGCUCCUCCUCCCCGGGGUCUUCGAUCGCGAACACCAGCUGACGAUUGAUCUCCUCCACGCUGAUGAGCGAUCGCGUUUUGAUGAAGUGUUGGAAAGACACCGCCUCGACGUAUUCCUGGAGACCUGCCGGGUGGGCCCGACGCAACGGGUCAGUCAGGGGAAGAAGCAGCAGCGAGCCGGUGAGACCGUCCCUGCCAACCUCUCGCUCCCACCCAGCAGCACGGGGCCGGGGGGCUCACGGAACCCGCCAAAACAGACAUUUCUCAGAGGAGAGAUACCAAAUGGGCGAUCCCUCGGUCUGGGAGGCCGAUCAAGGCGGGCCCCGCUUGCUCGUUCCCUCCGCCGCCCCCACCCGCCGCUGGAUCCCUCCCCCGUCCCCUUACCCAGUCCUCCUCUCUUUCAGCUCUCAGCUCCAACCCCAGCGCCUUCAGCCGAACCGGCCUUCCUUGGCUUCCUUGGCCGCUCCCUCCCUCGGAUCCCGGGCUCGCCUAAGAUCGGACAGGUUUCUUGCGCUCCCUCGACCCGGGGACAAUCCCUCGCGGAGGGGUCAAUCCCCACCGGCUCCGGCCACUUGCUGGGACCCACUAAGGAAAGAAGUCCAAUGACGGAAUGGGCGAGAACAGCGGCAGAGUGAGAGAAAAAUCUUUCCGUGCCACCGUCCCAAUCACUCAAUUAGGUACACGAUCCGGGAUGGAAGAACUGCCCCGCCGGAACCUUCCCUCGACAUCCUUUGAGUCUGUCACCUUUCCCCUGAACUCUCCACUAUCAGCGUUCUCUACUUUAGUGCCGAGUACAGGGGUGAGCACGUAGUAGGUACUCAAACGGCACCAUUAUGGUGUUUGAUUACCGCAUGGAAGGACACGUGGCAGGCGCUUCUCACCGCAAGAAAAGCCAUUAACGUCUCACUGGGAAAACGCUGCCAUCUUCCUCUUUAGCAAGACAAAAAGCCAUGAUGAAGAAAACCCGAUUUCUCCUGCGUGGAGUGCGUGUGCGGAGGCGGGAGUUCUCGGGGGGCAGGCCGGGUUGGGUUUUGGGGUGUACAGUGCCUCCACGCUGUACAUAGUUGAGCGCUUAGCAAAUAACUUUAAAAAAAAGCGUCUUCCAUCACCCUGAGGUUUCAAGUGUCUUUUGAUCAAGACGCUGAAAUCUUGCUACUGUCUCGCUCUGUUGGAUUUCUCCAAAACAUCCAAAUCUUUUCUCCGUCCAAAAUUCCAAAGUUUCUGUUGACUCGGGCUCACGCCAAGAACAGCUCGGGGCAAGAAAAUCGAACCCGGCCCAACCGUCCAACGAGCCGAAAGGCCCGGUCUCGUUGCCCCACAGAUGAGCUCACCGGUGCGAGUGCUCGCGUGGGCGUGCUGGGGCACUGGGCGGGGGCUCAUCGUUUCAAGACGGACGCGUGAUGUAAAAAGCAGCACGCUCAAUUCCCGAGAUUGAAGGAGGUUUUCCUUGGAGGAAAAACUAAGAAGGAUGACGGAGAUGUGCGUUCUGGCACGUGCAGCCCACCGGGAAAAGAACAUGAUCAAACAAAGAGGACAACUGUUAAAAAGUGAAUCCUACCGCCCAUUCUGAAGUCACCCAGGACUGCUUGACUCAGGCGCUCUGAUUCUACCCACGUUCAGACACGGCAAGCUAGGCCAGCGGGACGAUUCUCCUGCUCAAGCCCUGGGUGGGUGCCCUGGUGGAGCCUGACCUGGAGUGAUGGCCCGGUGAAACUGGUGCAGGUCUUCUCCCAGCAGCUCCUGGGCCACCUGCUUCAUUUUCUGCCUGACGGCCUCCAGCUUACUCUCCGACUCGGUCAGUAUCUCCUCGGCGUCUGGAGCGCUGCAGGGACAAAGGGACAAGGCUCCUGACGUUCGGUCUUCCCACCGUGGGGUUUUCUAGGCUCCGGUUCCUACCGCAAGCACACUGCAGACUUGGGGAAGGGGUUCUAGAGCACACAGAGUACGUAGGAAAUGUUUCUGUGGCUGAAAAGGGCGCAGGAUUCUGUCUGUGACAGAGUCGGGUUCCACAUAGGGUUCUAGAGUCCCUGCUAUUUCGGGACAAAACUGAAGCUCCGAAACGCAACGGGGAAAUGAGACCCAGGAAUUGUUCUCUGGUACUCGUAAAAAGUCACAUUUUUGCACUGAAAGCUUAAAAUGCCAAUGGGAAAAUCUAUCACCACCAGGGCCUUCAAACCCAACUGCUGCACCCUAUAAGCUUAUAUUUCUAUACCAAGUAAUACAGCAGGAUUGACCAACUGAAUGUAGAAAGGGUGGAUGAGAGGAUGCUAAGUGUUUGAUGGAACAGAGACACGUACAGACAAGG